rnacentral:rRNA from 1 species
UACGGGGGGAGCAAGCGUUGUUCGGAUUUACUGGGCGUAAAGGGCGGGUAGGCGGCCACCGCAAGUCGACUGUGAAAUCUCCGGGCUUAACCCGGAAAGGUCAGCCGAUACUGCGGGGCUAGAGUGCGGAAGGGGCUACUGGAAUUCUCGGUGUAGCGGUGAAAUGCGUAGAUAUCGAGAGGAACACCUGCGGCGAAGGCGGGUUGCUGGGCCGACACUGACGCUGAUGCGCGAAAGCGUGGGGAGCAAACGGG